rnacentral:rRNA from 1 species
CUGCUGUUAUACAGAAAGAAAAGAUAUAGGAGUGGAAAGCCUAUAUUAUGACGGUACUGUAUCAGAAAGUGACGGCAAACUAUGUGCCAGCAGCCGCGGUAAUACAUAGGUCACAAGCGUUAUCCGAAAUUAUUGGGCGUAAAGCGUCCGUAGGUUGUUUGUUAAGUCUGGAGUUAAAGACCGGUGCUCAACGCCGGCACGCUUUAGAUACUGGCAAACUAGAGUUAUAAAGAGGUAAGUGGAAUUUCAUGUGAAGCGGUGGAAUGCGUAGAUAUAUGAAAGAACACCAAUGGCGAAGGCAGCUUACUGGUUAUAUACUGACACUGAGGGACGAAAGCGUGGGGAGCAAACAGGAUUAGAUACCCUGGUAGUCCACGCCGUAAACGACGAUCAUUAGUUGGUGGGGGAACCCUCGCUAACGCAGCUAACGCAUUAAAUGAUCCGCCUGAGUAGUAUGCUCGCAAGAGUGAAACUUAAAGGAAUUGACGGGGACCCGCACAAGCGGUGGAGCAUGUGGUUUAAUUUGACGAUACGCGUAGAACCUUACCCACUCUUGACAUCCCUUGCAAAGCUAUAGAGAUAUAGUGGAGGUUAACAAGGUGACAGAUGGUGCAUGGUUGUCGUCAGCUCGUGUCGUGAGAUGUUCGGUUAAGUCCUGCAACGAGCGCAACCCCUAUCCUUAUUUACUAACAUUAAGUUGAGAACUAUACGGAUACUGCUCAGGUAACUGGGAGGAAGGUGGGGAUGACGUCAAAUCAUCAUGCCUCUUACGAGUGGGGCAACACACGUGCUACAAUGGCCGGUACAAAGAGACGCAAUAUGGUGACAUGGAGCAAAUCUGAAAAACCGGUCUCAGUUCGGAUUGAAGGCUGCAAUUCGCCUUCAUGAAGUCGGAAUCGCUAGUAAUCGUAGAUCAGCUACGCUACGGUGAAUACGUUCUCGGGUCUUGUACACACCGCCCGUCACACCAUGGGAGCCGGUAAUGCCCAAAGUC